rnacentral:rRNA from 1 species
CAACUUGAGAGUUUGAUCCUGGCUCAGAACGAACGCUGGCGGCAGGCCUAACACAUGCAAGUCGAGCGGCUCUUUCGGGGGCAGCGGCGGACGGGUUAGUAACGCGUGGGAACGUGCCCAGAGGUACGGAAUAGCUUCGGGAAACUGAAGGUAAUACCGUAUGUGCCCUUCGGGGGAAAGAUUUAUCGCCUUUGGAUCGGCCCGCGUCUGAUUAGGUAGUUGGUGGGGUAAUGGCCUACCAAGCCUACGAUCAGUAGCUGGUUUGAGAGGAUGAUCAGCAACACUGGGACUGAGACACGGCCCAGACUCCUACGGGAGGCAGCAGUGGGGAAUCUUAGACAAUGGGGGCAACCCUGAUCUAGCCAUGCCGCGUGAGUGAUGAAGGCCUUAGGGUCGUAAAGCUCUUUCGCUGGGGAAGAUAAUGACGGUACCCAGUAAAGAAACCCCGGCUAACUCCGUGCCAGCAGCCGCGGUAAUACGGAGGGGGUUAGCGUUGUUCGGAAUUACUGGGCGUAAAGCGCGCGUAGGCGGAUCAGAAAGUUGGGGGUGAAAUCCCGGGGCUCAACCCCGGAAUUGCCUUCAAAACUCCUGGUCUUGAGGUCGAGAGAGGUGAGUGGAAUUCCGAGUGUAGAGGUGAAAUUCGUAGAUAUUCGGAGGAACACCAGUGGCGAAGGCGGCUCACUGGCUCGA